rnacentral:sRNA from 1 species
AAAGACCAGCCGAAGGAUCGGCCAGCCGCCU